CCUUCCUGCCUCGCUACCCGGAAGCGGAUGUGACGGCAGUGGGGGAGCGCCGCUGGCCGCUGCGCCGCCAUGGAGCCGGCGGGCGCGGGGCCGCGGCGGGCGCGGGAGCCGCUGCGUGACCUGCGGGGCGCGCUGCGCGCGGUGCUGGCGCGUGUCCGAGAGGGCGAACCGGGCGAGGCCCGCGAGCCGUUCGAGCCGCCGCGCUUCUGGGACGCGCUCGGUCAGACAUUCAAAGCAACAUCACAGGAAGCUACAAAGCUGAGUCUGGCAUUCUCAAGGCCUCCACUGCCUUCCGCAGAGGACUGUCAGAAGCUGAGUGAAGACGUACAAAAUGCGAUUCUUGCAGUUGCCACAGUGUACUACUCGCUCCCCAAAGGUCAAGGUACUACUCUUCGGAAGAUGGUACGAGAUGCUACUACUGAGGUAGUGGAAGGGAUGAUCCAGCUCACAGAAACAAUUCUCAAUACUCCAUUGGAGAGCUUAUCUCAGGAACAGCUUAUAUCAACUGGUAGUGUGUGGGAGGCAUGUGAGCAAGCAUCCAAUCUGCCACGAGAUAACCAGGCAGCAGUUGUGUCAGCUCUAGCUGCAUGUCUAGGUGUGGUCAAGGAUGCUCUGGAAGAGAUGGAACAUGCUCUGGUGGAAGGGCGAGACCCCUACAGUGACAUCAUGGAAGAUGAGGAGCUGGGCUUUCGGGGCAACAGAGAUACCUACUGGUCAGAAGCUGACCGGAAGCUGCUUGGCCCCUGCAUGGGAUUAAUGAAAGCUUCCAAAGCUUGCCUGAAGAAGGUCUUGGGUGUAGUGAAGGCUCAUGGAAAAGCUGACUCUUCAGAGCAGAUUGCUCAGCUGGAUGACCUUGCAGACAUUGCUAAUGAGAUCAGUCCAAGUGUUGAUGAGCUGGCGCUGAGCAUGUAUCCACCUAUGAACCAGCUGGCUGUGCGACUCAAUGCUGCUAAAUUGGCAUCAGUAUUAAAGAAAGUCUUAGAGAUUACAAAGACAAGCCAUGUGUGUCCACCAUCAGAGGAAGGCUGGGUGCAGUUUCUCACCGGUGCGGUAGAUCACAACAUGGACAAAAUCAAGAACUUCACACAGGUCUUGUGGAUGAAUUGACCUCCCUCAGCCUUUACAGCACUUUCCUGGCUCCUGCCCUAUGAGAAGCUCACCGCUUCUACAAGCCCCAUGAAUAACGUCUUGGGGCAGGGACAGUUUUUUCUCUUGUGCAGACAACUGGCAAAUACUUGAGGCUAAUCAAGGUGGGACAUGAUGUUGCCACCUCUCCUUCAGGUUAUCUUGCUGACCUGCUGUGCCGAAUUUGAGAAGGACUCUCUUAUCUCUCAGACCACGUUAAAGAGCAGAAGGCCUGACUUUUCCUACCUUCAUAUGAGGAUAUGCUGCAGUGGGAUGUGAAGCUUUUAAAGACAGACAGUGACAACUUCUUCGAAGAGCUGUGCAUCAGCAACCCCAGAAGAGGAAGUAGAGAGAGUCACCAGGAAUUUUGCAGAAAUCUGUGAUCUUUCGCAAAUUCCUAAAUAGUCUUAGAAACCCAUAGGAAAAAAAAAAGUGGCAAAGCUUGCUCAAUUAUUCUGAGUAGUAAAGAUGAAGGAGGCAGCUUUGAAAAAGUUGUAGAGGAAUCUUUGAUUUUGAGUGUCUCAUAAAACAACAAGUAGAGAUCAGUGUAGACACAUGUAAAGUAGGAAAAAAGGACCCUAAUCUUACAUAAAUGGUGAUGCAUUCAGUGGUAACUGUAGCUGUGCCAGGAUGAGAUUUUAGACUUAUACUGGAUAGCCAUUGCAAAAUCUGGUCCAGUGAGCUUGGUGUUUUUCUUAUUGUUUGCAUAUUAAACUUUACAAUUGUUUGCUUGUGUGUCAGUUAAGCUAAAUGCAAGCUCUCUUAGUUUUAGUAAUUUACAGCAUAGCCUUAAUUGUAAAAAUGUGCUUUGAUUGCUUUGAUUUUUAUUAGUAACAUGGAGGUCACCAAAUUUGCAAAAGUCAGGAAACAAUAUAAACAGAAUGGGGAGAUGGGCCAACAAAAAUUCUGUGAGAUUUUUGUCAACAAAUUCUUAUAUAUCAAUUACAUAUGAUUUAAAUCUGUAUUUUGGACUUGAUUUUUAUAAAAAGAAAUAAACAGUAUGUAAUCACAUAAGCCAA